AGAGUUUGAUCAUGGCUCAGAACGAACGUUAGCGGCGCGCCUAACACAUGCAAGUCGCACGAGAAAGGGCUUCGGCCCCGGUACAGUGGCGCACGGGUGAGUAACACGUGGGUAAUCUGCACUCGAGUGGGGGAUAACAUUCCGAAAGGAGUGCUAAUACCGCAUAAGACCACGCCCUCGAAAGGGGAAGCGGUCAAAGCUGGCCUCUAUACAUAAGCUAGCGCUUGAGAAUGAGCCCGCGGGGCAUCAGCUAGUUGGUGAGGUAAUGGCUCACCAAGGCUUAGACGCCUAGCUGGUCUGAGAGGAUGAUCAGCCACACUGGAACUGAGACACGGUCCAGACUCCUACGGGAGGCAGCAGUGGGGAAUCUUGCGCAAUGGGCGAAAGCCUGACGCAGCGACGCCGCGUGAGUGAUGAAGGCCUUCGGGUUGUAAAGCUCUGUGGGGAGAGAAGAAUAAGUGCGGGCUAAUACUCCGCAUGAUGACGGUUCUCCUAGCAG
rnacentral:rRNA from 1 species